rnacentral:rRNA from 1 species
GACGAACGCUGGCGGCGUGCUUAACACAUGCAAGUCGAACGAACCUUUCGGGGUUAGUGGCGGACGGGUGAGUAACACGUGGGAACGUGCCUUUAGGUUCGGAAUAACUCAGGGAAACUUGUGCUAAUACCGAAUGUGCCCUUCGGGGGAAAGAUUUAUCGCCUUUAGAGCGGCCCGCGUCUGAUUAGCUAGUUGGUUGAGGUAAUGGCUCACCAAGGCGACGAUCAGUAGCUGGUCUGAGAGGAUGAUCAGCCACAUUGGGACUGAGACACGGCCCAAACUCCUACGGGAGGCAGCAGUGGGGAAUCUUGCGCAAUGGGCGAAAGCCUGACGCAGCCAUGCCGCGUGAAUGAUGAAGGUCUUAGGAUUGUAAAAUUCUUUCACCGGGGACGAUAAUGACGGUACCCGGAGAAGAAGCCCCGGCUAACUUCGUG